UACGUAGGGGGCGAGCGUUGUCCGGAAUUAUUGGGCGUAAAGCGCGCGCAGGCGGUCCUUUAAGUCCGAUGUGAAAGCCCCCGGCUUAACCGGGGAGGGUCAUUGGAAACUGGAGGACUUGAGUGCAGAAGAGAAGAGCGGAAUUCCACGUGUAGCGGUGAAAUGCGUAGAGAUGUGGAGGAACACCAGUGGCGAAGGCGACUUUCUGGUCUGUAACUGACGCUGAGGCGCGAAAGCGUGGGGAGCAAACAGG
rnacentral:rRNA from 1 species